rnacentral:rRNA from 1 species
UACGUAGGGGGCAAGCGUUGUCCGGAAUCAUUGGGCGUAAAGCGCGCGUAGGCGGCCCGGUAAGUCCGCUGUGAAAGUCAAAGGCUCAACCUUUGAAUGUCAGCGGAUACUGCCGGGCUAGAGUCCGGAAGAGGCGAGUGGAACUCCUGGUGUAGCGGUGGAAUGCGCAGAUAUCAGGAGGAACACCGAUGGCGAAGGCAGGUCUCUGGGCCACUACUGACGCUGAGAAGCGAAAGCGUGGGGAGCGAACAGG